rnacentral:rRNA from 1 species
CCUACGGGAGGCAGCAGUGGGGAAUAUUGCACAAUGGGGGAAACCCUGAUGCAGCGACGCCGCGUGAGUGAAGAAGUAUUUCGGUAUGUAAAGCUCUAUCAGCAGGGAAGAAAAUGACGGUACCUGACUAAGAAGCCCCGGCUAACUACGUGCCAGCAGCCGCGGUAAUACGUAGGGGGCAAGCGUUAUCCGGAUUUACUGGGUGUAAAGGGAUCGUAGACGGCAGCACAAGUCUGGAGUGAAAUGCCGGGGCUUAACCCCGGAACUGCUUUGGAAACUGUGCAGCUAGAGUGCAGGAGAGGUAAGUGGAAUUCCUAGUGUAGCGGUGAAAUGCGUAGAUAUUAGGAGGAAUACCAGGGGCGAAGGCGGCUUACUGGACUGUAACUGACGUUGAGGUUCGAAAGCGUGGGGAGCAAACAGGAUUAGAUACCCUGGUAGUC